rnacentral:rRNA from 1 species
UACGGGGGGGGCAAGCGUUGUUCGGAAUUACUGGGCGUAAAGGGUUCGUAGGUGGCUCGCUAAGUCAGACGUGAAAUCCCUCAGCUUAACUGGGGAACUGCGUCUGAGACUGGCAAGCUCGAGUGCAGGAGAGGAACGCGGAAUUCCAGGUGUAGCGGUGAAAUGCGUAGAUAUCUGGAGGAACACCGGUGGCGAAGGCGGGUCUCUGGGCCGAUACUGACGCUGAGGAGCGAAAGCGUGGGGAGCGAACAGG